GUUAUUUCAAUAUUAAUCUAUCUAAGUUGCAUAUUAAAUUAUGACACGAUUAUACAAAGCUAUCAUUGGAGAAGACGGUCAGUUUGUUUUAUGAUAGUGGUCGUGAGCCUCUGGUUAGAAAUAAAUAUUGUAAUAAUUAAGUUGCACCUCUAUGGGGACUAAAUAAAGUAUGUUCAGAGAUGAGCACGCGUAAAAGGCGGCCUUCUGAACAUAUGGUCAAACCUCUAGCAGCGACCAAGCCUGAUUCGGUUGUGAUCGUGGGCCCGCAUGAUUAUUAAAUAUUAAUAAACGGCCGAUGCGUGAGUCCAAAGCGACAUGAGUAGCCGAAUGAACGGAUGCAAUAACAAGUAGGGCUAAACAAGAAUAACCAAACAUCCACCCAAAUUCUGUAACUGUUAAAAGUAAUUCUCAAUCCGAUUUAUAUUAACAUUAUCUUGGAGUCAGAUAAUAAUACAAAAUUGCAUAAUGCCAAAACGUCAUCUGCAAGCGCCGGAAAAGACAGAACGCGCUAUAAUCCUCGUUUGGAUUCCGCCGUUGGGCCAAACGGAUGGAUGGGGUCAGAUUUGGACCCUUACAAAGUGGUGAUUCCCGGGACGUGAUAUUCAACCAGUGGAAAUCUUAUCAAAAUGUACAAAGUACGACUGAUUCGAUCCCUGGAGAAUAAGAGUCUUUUCAUGGAGCUAAAGGUUUGAACUUCUUCUAUUUCUUCAGCUGAUGUGGUUGAAAGCUGUAAAUCCUGGCCAGAGAUGUCUGGCCACAUCAAAGACAGCGAACCCUGCAGAAAAAACAAUCUAGAAAACUGAGGAUGGGUGCGAAGACAUUCAAAGGCCAUUUUACACCUCACUACACUAUACCAUCAUGAAUAGACAUGGCCUCAAAAUUUGCAACCCUAAUUGUUAGAGAUAAAAUCCACCCAUCUUUCAGACAAACACUGACUGUACAGCACACACAUUGACUAAAACAAUCUCGUAACACAUCUGGUAUAGACGUAAAGACUAUCCAGACAUAAACACUACACACCACACAACAUAUUCCAAACUUAACACUACAUUUAAAAUCAACAUUCUCCUGUUGACACAAACAGGGACAUCUAAUCCAACACAAAUUCUAAGUGAUAUCAUUCACACCCAUAUUAGCAAAACUACAACAUUCAUAAGAAACUUACAUGGCAAAGUCACACUUUGAUGAUUAUGUUUCUAAUUGCAAUAACAAACUUACUGUCUUAAUCUCAAAUCAAUAAUCUGACUGUUGUUGUCAUAAGUGAGGACCAGUUGGCGCCCUGAUCCUCAACUUAUCACUAAACAACAGCACAAACAAUUUUCAAGAAUCAAUCAAACCAUUUACAUCUCAACUCCUAAUAUCAAAUGUGACUUAGCCGACAUAUCAGAUACACACCUAUAUAAGUAUUCACAUAUCUCUACACUCAUACACCUACUUAUACACGCAAACACAUUGAAAUCUGAGAUUCUAAAUCUUCAAAUGUAUGGACUAUACACACACAUUCACAUACAGAUACAUAUACACAUAGGCACAUACCUGCACACAUAGAAAUCUAACAUGAGAUUCUGAAUCUUCAAUUGUGCUCAUGGACUCAACAUGUUCUGAACAUAUACUAAGUUAAUCUUAGGCCUACAAGGUGCUUAUAUUAGAAAAUUCAGAGUUCCCUCAACAUUCAUUAUAGAUGUGUGCAUGGUAUGAUUACAACAUUAUGUGCUUAUUAUUAUUAUUAUUAUUAUUAUUAUUAUUAUUAUAUAUGGUCUACCAUGCCCAUACCUAAAUCUAUUGUAGCAAUAUUUUACUAUCACAUUUAUUGAUACACCAUAUGAGAUGCAUUACCAAAUUUUACUUUAACAUGUUCCGUUAUUUUUUUUUUACAUGACCCAAUAUAUGCAUACCUGAAUGUUAUUUAACACUUUCUGGUUUUUAUUUUUUUUUAUUUUCACAUGACCCAAUAUGCAUACCUGAAGAAGGUUAUUUUUACAUUUUCUGGGUUUUAUUUUCAUACAAUCUAUAAUGUGCAUACCUGAAGAAGGUUAUUUUUAAAUUUUCUGGGUUUAUUUUCAUACAAUCUAUAAUAUGCAUACCUGAAGAUCAUUUUAACCAUUCCUGGGUUUUAUUUUCAUACAAUCUGUAACAUGCAUAUCUCAAGGUUAUUUUAACAUUUAAUUUUCUGGGUUUUAUUUAUUAAUAUGCAUACCUCAAUGUUAUGCCUUGUUAUUUUAACCUGAUCUUUUGCAUCUUCUUCUUCAAUAUCCAGAGACCAAGUACAUUUAAAUUUAACUAAACUCCAAAUACAACAGUGGGAAAGAACAUUGGUAAUUUUAUAGAUCAGAUAUAUUUGACCUGGUGAGACCGUACCACUUGCACUUUCCACAUCAAGGUAUCAUGUGCUAUGUUUUUUAUUUAUUUUAUUUAUGGUUUACCCUAUGAAUCUCUUGAUAAUGUUGCUGAGUCUAUCAGUAUUGAUCAAUGUUCAAUCAAUGAAUGGUCCUUAAGAUGUGCAGGUGUUUCACACAGUGAUGUAUUGUCAAUGACAUGAUCCCCACCUGACGAUGUCUGAAAUCAGAGGAGAUCAACGUUCAGAGGUGACAACUUUCUUCAAAGGGACAGAACGUCUAAAAACAGGUGGUUUUUUCGCAAAAGAAUGGGACAUUCAUUGAACAAAGCACGCAGGCCUUGGUUGACACACUGAACUUGAACACUACGAACACUACAGAGAUUGGACACCACCAAGAGCUAACAUCUUACUGUAUGUUGAUCUCAUCGGGACUGUUAUGUUCUCCGAUAUGAUCAAGCGGCGGAGCUGUAAGAUAAUUUCCUAAAUAAGAUAGCACCUCCCCAAAGGACACUGUAUGGGGGCAAAGUGAGUGCGCGAGAAAAGCCUCUCUCCACGAUUCACAGUGGACUUCCCACUGAGACACAUUUGGGUUUCAAAGACACACCUUUAGGGUGUCAUACAUUUGUAUUCUUUUCUCUAAAAGCAAACUGUAUAUGAAAUGCUACAUGCACAAAGAAUCUAAAAUCUGUAUCUUAUUUGUUUUCUAUUGGAAUGUCUCAUUGCAAGUGGUUACAGGUCUCACUCAUAUAACAACAGAAUUCAAUGUUAAAGUAUAUGUGAAACUUCAUUCAGUGUUGAUAGACACCUCCCUUUCUAAGCAUAAACCAAUCACCCACUGUAUACAGAUUAAGGACAGCCCUUAGUUUUACCAACAACCAAUCAGCACCAAAUUCCUAUAUGCUUUGUUCUCUGGUUAUUUAAGGAGAUGUGUAGAAGAUUUAGGCGGGACUUUCAAUAUCGAGAAAUGCACCCCCAUGAUGCUGUCCUUGCACAGCAUCAUGUAUUGUUAUUUUACUUUGAGGAAUCUGUAACCAGAUCUUCAUCUCAUUACCAGGUAUGCAAUGGGUUUUCGUUUGAUUUUCGUAUUCGAAUUGGAAUGUAAAUUGGCUUCUGAAUUAUGUUUUACCUACCUGGUUAAUAAAUUGUGUUUGGAUUA